GUUGAUGCCGCCUGUGAUUGGAUAACGGCGGGAGGAAGUGGUAGCAAUUUCCGGUGAUUGCAAAAUGGCGUUGUGUGAAGGCACAGUGAGAGAAAGAGAGAGAAAAAAAGUGUUUGCUAUUAUUACGACGGUGUAGCAGCAGACCCGGUGGACUCCACGACGAUGACAAGUCCGAAUCAUCUGGUUUCUGCUACGUGAAUGACAUCGUUCUGGUCAUUUUUGAGCUGCUCGGAACAUCGGGGCUGGGAAGAGCAAAUACAACGCAAUGAAUUGCCCACGAAGCCAUCUUUAAACCGGUAAGUGUUUGACAGAGUGUGAUUUAGUUUUAUUUUUCCCAGCUUCUCUGUGGACAAGUUUUUAAAAUGUGUCAUGUGUUUAGAUCAUGGCCAAAGUUAACCUAAAAACCCAACCAGAAUACUUCCACAAUGAACCGAACACGUUUUUACUCUUAAUAGCAAAACAUGCAGUCAAUCACAAAGUCCAUAGAUACUUAAAAACAUCAAAACGUCAAAUUACAACAGUAACUCUUAGCUUUACUUUAACACUAACUAAAGAUGGACAGAUCACAUACUCACAACAAUAGUUCUGUCAACCACAUGUGCUCACAGGAUUCAACAAAGGCCCUAAUCUUCCUCCUCCACUUCUGCAAAGAUAUCAAAAAAUAUUUUUUCCCCUUUCUUUACCUAUACCAUACCAUUGACUUUGACAAUGCACAAUUUUUUUUGCUCAAUUUCUGGAAAUAAAUGCAUAUCACACAAUAUUCCAACCAUUUCAUUUCUUUAUUCUGGAAGGUUUACAGCAAUCAAAUACACUUCACAAUGAACGUGACUAUUACAACAGCACAAUUAAUUUUUAGCUCACAAUGAAAGUACAGUAAGUGUUGCAAAAAAGUGCCUUAAGUGUUUGACCAUAGCAUUAAGGCACAAUGAAUGGAAUGAGCUACAUGUUAGCACAAACAAACAGGUUUUCCUUAAAAGCAGCUACAAAGUAGUCACUCUUACAGUGCAAAGUCUGUUGCACAACUAAAUGUUUACACAUCACUAUCAUCAGUAACAGUACAAACUCAAUGUUUUAAACAUUUCAUCACUACAUAAAGGCCUUUGUUUGUCAGAACAGCUCAGGGGUCAAGCACAAUUGAAA